rnacentral:lncRNA from 1 species
UCGUUCACCAAGUAGCCGAUGAUGGGAUCCUUGUCAACUUGCAUCAAGUUCGGCUAUUCUGCCUUUGUAAUACUUGGUUUAUCAAGGUGCUCGACUGGGAUGGAGUGUCUGAACAGGGUAUCCAAUGCUGAUUCCACGCUUGCUAGUGCAUCUGCAUAUGCUUUCUCUUUCCAGGGCACCUGUUAGAUAGUGAAGGUAGGAAAUACCCUUCAACAACUCUUGGACUUUGUCAAG